rnacentral:tRNA from 1 species
GUGACUAUAGUUCAGUCGGUUAGAGCGUCAGAUUGUGGUUCUGAAUGUCGUGGGUUCGAAUGUUCGAAUCCCACUAGUCACCCCU